CAACGGAUUCCUGUCUUUAAAAAAGUUUUUUUUUUUCUUUUUAAUUGGCACAUAUUAGUUAUGCAUAAUGGGUGCCAUUAUGCUGUCCUCAUACAUGCAUAGAGUGUAUUUUGAUCAUUCCACUCCGAUUUCUCUCUUAGGACCACCUUCCCACUCCCACUGAUUCCCCUUCCAUUUCCCAGCUCAUCUCCCUUCGACUUUUUUUUUGGUUUUUUGAGACAGAGUUUCUCUGUGUAGCUUUGCGCCUUUUCUGGAACUCACUCUGUAGUCCAGGCUGGCCUUGAACUCACAGAGAUCCUCCUGCCUCUGCCUCCCGAGUGCUGGGAUUAAAGGCGUGCGCCACCACCGCCAGCUCCCUUCGACUUUAAUGCCCCUCUCCCUUCCUUUUUGGUGGCCCAAUGAGUUUCCUUAUGGUUUCUUUCAGAAGCGUGGAUUACUUAUCAGUGGCACGCCACUGAAGAAAACGCCUUUCCCUCUCCUAGCAACCAUUACCUGCCUGUAAAUACUCCUAGAAAUACUCCCUAGAACCCCGCUUGUAUUCUCUCUUCUUAGCAAUGUAUUACUCGUUUAUCCAGAUAUUUGGUUUAAUUUUGUGUUUUUGAAAGAGAAAGAAAAAAGACCUACUGAUAAUUUCUAAAUUUUUUUUUUUUUUAAUUUAUUUCUUAUGUAUACAGCAUGUAUGACUGCAGGUCAGAAGAGGGCACCAGAUCUCAUUACAGAUGGUUGUGAGCCACCAUGUGGAUGCUGGGAAUUGAACUCAGGACCUUUGGAAGAGCAGCCAGUGCUCUCAACCCCUGAGCCAUCUCUGUAGCCCCCUCUAAAUUGUUUUAAAUUAAAUAUAUGUGGAUACUAUGUGGAUACGAAAAUGUGUAUUAAUAUAUUUUUAUAUUUGAAAACUUGCACCUCCACAGUUUUAAAAAAAUAAAGAUAAUUCCUUUGAUUUAUUUAUUUUUGGCUUGUUUUUGAAAGAGGGCUUCUCUUUGUGGCCCUGGCUGUCCAGGAAAUCACUCUGUAGACCAAGCUGGCCUCGAACUCAGAGAUCUGCCUGCUUCUGCCUCCUAGUAUUGAGAUUAAAGUCUCACACUACUAUCCCUGGCUAAGAUAUUCUUUUGGUAUAAGCUUAAAAGAAACCUUAAAUUUAGAAGCUAUUCUGGUUAUGUCACUUUUUUUGUUUUAUUUUCCUUUUUACUAUUUUAUUUAUUUACUCAUAAUUUUAUUAUUAUGAAAUAGUAAUAUCUUUAGUUUUUUUUUUUUUAAUGUCUUCUAAAUGUAAGCUUCACCCACCCAAUUAUGGAACCCAUUUCAUGCCAAGCUUGGUGGCCCUUGAUUUUAAUCCGAGCACUCAGGAGGUAGUGGCCUGGUCUACAUAGUGAGUCCCAGGCUAGCCAGGGCUACACAUGGAGAUGUUUCAAAAGGAAAAAAAAACAUUUUUUUUCUGUUUUAGAGUAAGAUGCUUAUGUCCUCACUGUAUGUCUUGAGUGAAAUAGUAUCUAUUUCAUAGUUUUAACUGAGAAAGCAUUGAGAUAACCUUUUCUUCCUUUGUCUCAUCUUUUCUAGUUUAAUAGAGUCUUAUGUAGCCCAGGCUGGCCUCAAACUCUGGCUCCUUCUUUCUCAGCUUCUCCAGUCCUGGGGUUACAGUUGUGUGGCUUCAGACACAGGAGUAGCAGUUCAGCUUUGUGGUGGUUUUGACAAGGUCUCAAGUGGCCCAGGCUGCUUUUAACUCACUAAGUAGCCAAGCAUCACCUUGCACUUCUGAUCAUCCUGCUUCUGUGUGCAGCCACAUCCAGUUUAUUCAGGGCUGGGAAAUCGAACCCAGGGCUUCCUACAUUUUAGGCAAGCCCUCUACCAACCAAGCUACAUCCCCAGCCCAGCAGUUCAUUUUAGUAAAGCAAUUUCCCUUGGUAAAACAUAAAGCCUUUUCAGCGGUUGAAUCAGAUAUGCUAUUUUUAAUUAAAAAUUUAAAAAUUAAUUUAAAAAUAUUUAUUUAUUUUAGGUGUAUGUUUUGCCUGCAUGUAUGUAUGUGUACCACAUGCAUGCCUGAUGCCCGUGAUGUUUAAAAAGAGGAUGUUAGAUUCCCUGGAAAUGAAGUUAGGGAUGGUUGUGAGUCACAAUGUGGGUGCCGGGUACCAAACCCCCAGUCUUCUGCAAGAGCGACCAGUGUCCUUAACUGCUGAGCACUCUCUCCAGUCCCAGAUACUCAGUUUUUUAAGGUUAUUGUUUUUUUCAUAACAACCUUAUUUCCUUUAGACUUUGGCUUCUGUGUUUUUUAUUUGUUUUGAUUUUUGGCUUGAGGCCUAUGACCAAGUUCAUUCAGCCUAGUAGAACUCACUGUUUUCAGCUCAAUGUGUAUUCAAAAUGGAGUUGGAUAGAUUGCUCGUGGAAUGUACAGUUUUGCAAAGCAAGAAAUAAUGUGCACCUAAGAAGCUAGAACAAGAAAAAAAGUAGACUAAGGAAAGCAGUGUGGACGGUGUGGUGGGGGUGGAGGGCAGGCCCUGUUCCUUUGCCAGGGAACUUAAGGGUUUCCUGAGAAAACUUGCACCUGAGCAGGGCCUGGAUGGUGUGAGAUUUACACCUCCAAACAAGGGUAGAGGAGGCAGAAAAAGUAGGUGAAUCAGGGAGCAUGACUGGGCUGGUUUCAGAGGAAAGGUUGAGCUGGAUCACAAAGGUCAUAAGAUGUCAGAGUUAGCCUUUUUUUUUUUGGAGCUGAGAUCUGAACCCAGGGCCUUGCGCUUGCUAGGCAAGCACUCUACCACUGAGCUAAAUCCCCAACUCCCCUUUAUUUUAUAAGAAGCAAGAAGCUUACAAGUGAUUUGGGAUGGGAGGUGGAGGCCAGAAAGCCUGAACGUUUCCUCACUGAAGGGAAAAGGAAGCCAAGGCCUGAGUUGCUCAGAGUUGAGGUCUCCCAGGCUAAUCCAGUAAUAGAGAUGGGUGGAGAGUGUUUGGCAGAGACCUAAACAGCCCUAAAGGAUAUGCCUGGGCUGAAGUGUGUGGGCCCUUCUUGCAUUCUGUGCUUGAGGCUAAGCACAGAUAUGGGCUCCGGGUUGCCAGAUCUGAUUUUCAAAAGGAACAAGAUCUGGAUUGUACCAUAAAAAUCUGAUGUUUUAAGUGUGAGUUACCAAUUAAAAAAAAAGCUUGUCUGUAGUUCUGCCUUUAACCCAGGUUUGUAAAAACUUUGUGGCUAUAUUGAAGAGACUUCAAUAUAGGGUACCUUAUUCAUUUGCCUGUGUUCAGGUGAUUGCUGCCAGAGUGGAUGGAUGUACAAAAGCAGUCCAUAGUGAAUAUUAACAGCAUAAACAGAUUGCAUAAUAAAGUUUCAUACUCUGAUUUCUUCCAACAAAACUGGUCUUUUCACAGCAUUCUAUAUGCCAUGCAGACAUAUACCUCUCUGCCUACUUCCUAUGAUCUUAAUUCUGAUUUUCUCUCAACACUUUCUUUAGCUAUCAAGAUUGAGGACUCCUCCUCCUCAUUUUUUUUUUCCUCUUUAGUUUUAAGCUAUAAGACUUAAUCAUGAGUGACCAAAUCAAAUUCAUCGUGGACAGCCUCAAUAAGGAGCCUUUUAAGAAGAACUAUAAUUUAAUCACAUUUGAUUCUCUGGGACCAAUGCAACUAUUACAAGUUCUCAAUGAUGUUCUGGCUGAGAUCGACCCCAAGCAAGAUGUUGAUAUCAGAGAGGAGAUGCCAGAGCAGACAGCCAAACGGAUGUUGAACCUGCUUGGUAUCCUUAAAUACAAACCUCCCGGAAAUGCCACAGACAUGAGUACUUUUCGUCAGGGCCUGGUGAUCGGGAGUAAGCCUGUCAUUUACCCAGUGCUGCACUGGCUCCUUCAGAGGAGCAAUGAACUGAAGAAGAGGGCAUACUUAGCUCGUUUUCUAAUAAAACUGGAUGUGCCGAGUGAGUUCCUACAGGAUGAGACUGUGGCCGACACCAAUAAACAGUAUGAAGAGCUGAUGGAAGCCUUUAAAACUCUGCAUAAAGAAUGUGAGCAGCUCAAAACAUCUGGAUUUUCUACAGCAGAAAUAAGAAGGGACAUCAGCGCAAUGGAAGAGGAAAAAGACCAGCUCAUGAAGAGAGUUGAACGCUUGAAGAAAAGGGUGGAGACUGUUCAGAAUCAUCAGCGGAUGCUUAAAAUAGCAAGACAGCUUCGGGUUGAGAAGGAGAGAGAAGAGUUUCUUGCACAACAGAAACAGGAACAGAAGAAUCAGCUGUUUCACGCGGUGCAGAGAUUGCAAAGAGUGCAAAACCAGCUGAAAAGUAUGCGGCAUGCUGCAGCGGACGCAAAACCUGAAAGUUUAAUGAAGAGGCUAGAGGAGGAGAUAAAAUUUAAUUCAUAUAUGGUCACUGAAAAAUUCCCGAAAGAAUUAGAAAGCAAGAAAAAGGAAUUACAUUUUUUACAAAAAGUGGUUUCUGAGCCAGCUAUGGGCCAAUCUGACCUUCUCGAACUGGAGUCUAAAGUCAAUGAAGUAAACACGGAGAUCAACCAGUUGAUUGAGAAGAAAAUGAUGAGAAAUGAGCCGAUCGAAGGCAAGCUCUCACUGUAUCGGCAGCAGGCAUCCAUCAUUUCUCGUAAAAAAGAAGCCAAAGCCGAGGAACUUCAGGAGACCAAGGAGAAGUUAGCCAGCCUAGAGAGAGAAGUGUCGGUGAAGACCAACCAGACCCGGGAAUUUGAUGGCGCUGAGGUUCUGAAGGGAGACGAGUUCAAGAGAUACGUCAGUAAACUUCGAAGCAAGAGUACAGUUUUCAAAAAGAAGCAUCAGAUAAUAGCUGAAUUUAAGGCUGAAUUUGGUCUCUUGCAAAGGACAGAAGAGCUUCUUAAGCAACGUCAGGAAACCAUUCAGCAUCAACUGCGAACUAUUGAAGAGAAGAAGGGUGUAUCUGGGUACAGUUACACCCAAGAAGAGCUGGAAAGGGUGUCCGCCCUCAAGAGUGAGGUUGAUGAGAUGAAAGGCCGAACCCUGGACGACAUGUCUGAAAUGGUGAAAAAACUGAAUUCCCUGGUGUCGGAAAAGAAGUCAGCUCUGGCCCCAGUCAUAAAAGAACUCCGACAGUUGCGGGAGAAAGGCCAGGAACUGACCCAGGAGUGUGACGAGAAGAAAGCCCAGUAUGACAGCUGCGCAGCAGGCCUUGAAAGCAACCGGUCCAAAUUAGAACAGGAAGUGCGAGCGCUCCGUGAAGAAUGUAUUCAGGAGGAAAGUAAAUACCAUUAUACGAACUGUGUGAUUAAGAACCUGGAAGUUCAGCUUCGUCGGGCGACUGAUGAGAUGAAGGCGUACGUCUCUUCCGAUCAACAGGAAAAGAGGAAAGCAGUCAGAAGCCAUAUAUGGUGGUGUGUACCUGUAAGCCCGGUGCUGGGGAGCCUGAGACAGACGGACUAGCAAGUUGAGACCGGUGUGGGCUACGUGGCAAGACCAUGUCUCAAAAACAAUAAACCAACGCCCCCCCCACAAAGGAACAGAAUCCCCGAGGAUGCCUGUGUAGCUCUGGGUGUGCUGAAGACCACACAACACGUGUGCACAUUAACAACCGCUUUCAAGGGUAGCUGGGGCACUCGGAUGUAGCCUUGAACCCACUGAGACCUUCAGCCGUUCCUCUUUCCUCUGCCUCCCGAGUGCUUAGAUGACAGGCAUGUUGAUCACCAUACCUGGUUUCCGUGGUGCUGGAGAUGCGACCUGGGACUUCCUGCAUGCUAGAAUCAUUUCCUAGAAGUGAAAUGACUGAAUCAUCCUCCUUACGUAUCACCAAGUGGCUUUCCAGAAAGCCAAAGCUCUCCCACUCCUGCUUGCGGAGGAGAUGGCCCUCUUGAGAAGCACGCCCGCCCGUUUGACAAGGUCCAACAUCGUAGACUGGUUCUAAACUCAUUAAGUGUCCGAGGACGACCUUGAACUCUCGAUUGCUUCCACGUCUGCGUGCAGCGAUCACAGGCGGACAUCACAUCACACCUGACUCAGUAUGACCUCUUUAUACUGGCAAAAUUACAUUUCGUGCUAGGCGCUGAUCAGACCUCUCCGACACAGCAGAUGAUUUGUGGUUUAAGAAUAGGUUUGAGACUGAAAGCUCCUUCUCUCCCAUUGGGGGAAGUGGACGUCUGUAUGGCAGCCUUCAUUUUAAAGCCAAAGUCAAGCACCUUGCAGACGCAGAGCUGCUCCAGCAUAACCUGUGACUUCUAUGCAGACGUGUGUCAAAGGCUGUGUGGGCUCCUAAAAACGAAGUAAAACUUCCUCCUUCCUCCCGCAAGAGUGGGAUUCCCUGUCGGGGUACAGAACCCGCAGGGGAAGGAAGGGCUGGUGUUGGCGUGCGAUGGAGAUGGGGCUCUCGGCCGGGGGUGUGGGAUGCGGUGUUCCCGAGGCGACAGCUGAGCGAUUUUUGGCUG